rnacentral:rRNA from 1 species
AUUGAACGCUGGCGGCAGGCUUAACACAUGCAAGUCGAGCGGAGAGAGGUAGCUUGCUACUGAUCUUAGCGGCGGACGGGUGAGUAAUGCUUAGGAAUCUGCCUAUUAGUGGGGGACAACAUUUCGAAAGGAAUGCUAAUACCGCAUACGUCCUACGGGAGAAAGCAGGGGAUCUUCGGACCUUGCGCUAAUAGAUGAGCCUAAGUCGGAUUAGCUAGUUGGUGGGGUAAAGGCCUACCAAGGCGACAAUCUGUAGCGGGUCUGAGAGGAUGAUCCGCCACACUGGGACUGAGACACGGCCCAGACUCCUACGGGAGGUAGCAGUGGGGAAUAUUGGACAAUGGGCGCAAGCCUGAUCCAGCCAUGCCGCGUGUGUGAAGAAGGCCUUAUGGUUGUAAAGCACUUUAAGCGAGGAGGAGGCUACUCUAGUUAAUACCUAGAGAUAGUGGACGUUACUCGCAGAAUAAGCACCGGCUAACUCUGUGCCAGCCGCCGCAGUAAUAC